rnacentral:rRNA from 1 species
AUUGGACGCUGGCGGCAGGCCUAACACAUGCAAGUCGAGCGGAUGAAGGGAGCUUGCUCCUGGAUUCAGCGGCGGACGGGUGAGUAAUGCCUAGGAAUCUGCCUGGUAGUGGGGGAUAACGUCCGGAAACGGGCGCUAAUACCGCAUACGUCCUGAGGGCGAAAGUGUGGGAUCUUCGGACCUCACGCUAUCAGAUGAGCCUAGGUCGGAUUAGCUAGUUGGUGGGGUAAAGGCCUACCAAGGCGACGAUCCGUAACUGGUCUGAGAGGAUGAUCAGUCACACUGGAACUGAGACACGGUCCAGACUCCUACGGGAGGCAGCAGUGGGGAAUAUUGGACAAUGGGCGCAAGCCUGAUCCAGCCAUGCCGCGUGUGUGAAGAAGGUCUUCGGAUUGUAAAGCACUUUAAGUUGGGAGGAAGGGCAGUAAGUUAAUACCUUGCUGUUUUGACGGUACCAACAGAAUAAGCACCGGCUAACUUCGUG